rnacentral:lncRNA from 1 species
ACCGUUCACUCUCUUCUUCCCAAAGUCCCAAACCACCAUUCCCAAAGCUUUGAUCCGGCAGCAGCGGCAGUAGCGGCGGCACCAACGGGACGAAGAGGUUGCGGUGGCAGCAACUCCCACGGCAGGAGGAGGUGUCGGCAACCACCCGUGCGAGGAGGCCCACAACAGGAGGCGGCGGUGAAUCACGGGCAAAAGAAGGCGGUGGUGGCGGCAACCUACGUGAGGAGGGUGCGGCUGUGGCGGCAGCUUCGGUGACUUGCGCGAGGAGGCCCACGGGAGGAGGCGGUUGAGCCCAUGGCGGUGACUUGCAGGCUGAAGGAGGCAACAGCGACUGCAGACUGUGGUGCCUUUCUCAAGCGGUCCUCCGAUGGCUAGGGAGAUGACACUCAUAGGCGGAACUCUAAUAUCUUCGUCCGCGGGUGCCCUCCUCCUAUGUGUUUUUUUGUGUUUUUAGACCAAAGUGUUUCAACGGGGUUUCCGAUGGUGUUUCAUUUUUUUCUUUGAUUUUUUCUCGGAUCUUGUUGAUGUUUUCAAUGGCUUAAAUCAUUUUGUUUCAUAUGAUGAACCAAAUUGUUUCAUCUAGCGAUCCAAUUGUUUUUCUCUAUUUUCUAAGAACUGGAACACUCUUAAAAUGGCUUAAAUCAUUUAUUGCAUAUGUUUAACUAAAUUUAUUUCAUCUAGCAAUCCGACUGUAUUUCACUUUUUUUUAAGAACUGAAACAUUCUUUCACUAAUUGUUAAAACAUUGUUUAAUAAAACAACGCUCGAUUUGUAGGUGCUUCUCUUUAUACCCAACGAUAGAGAUGUAAAUCAUCUCCAUUAUUUUUUAAGAAAAUAUAUUGUUCAUGCAGACUGGUGGGAUUACUAACUUCGAAUACAUUACCAAAGC